GCGCCACGCUCCAUGGAGGCGCCAAGGAGAAGGCCUGGGAAGGGAAGAGUGAACCUUCCCUGGUGGAGGGCCCACUCCUCAGGCAGUGGGGAGACCGCCUUUUGCAUGCGACAGGACUUACCAGUUACUAUUGGCACCGGAACCACCAUCUGAGAUACAGGAGAAGACAGAAAUGGAAGCAAAGGAAGAUGGAAAAAUAGAAAACAGAGACCCCCAAGAGGUUGAACAGCUUGCCGAGAAUCAUGACCAGUUGGGAGGCCAGUUCUGACACCAGAGGUCCUGACGGCCAGGCCAGCACUGUUUUCUGUAGACAUGGUAUCUUCUAAAAGGCAUUUAUCAUUUUUUUUCCUUUCAGAAUUAAAUGAAGACUAAACUCCUGUACACGUGUUUGUUGGUAGAGGCCAUCACAGAAUAUGGCCACCAUACUGUGAUCUGCCAACCCAAUUAAGAUACUGGCCAUGGCUUCUAAUUUGUGUUUUACACUGUUCAGACAUAAAUAUUUAAAAUUUGUUGCAUUGCAAUCUGUUUGGUUGUAAAGAUUUGACCUAUGAAGCAAGAAGUGUUCAUGAAUGAGGUUUAAGGAUGUCAGGGGUGACUCAGAAGGAAACGCGCUAGAACAGCAAGGAUCAGGGAAGCAGCGCUUUUCUCUUUGCAAGUCAUAAAAUACAAUGCCUGAAAGAGCUAAUAAGCCUUGUUAUCUAAUCAUGUCUAAUA
ensembl:lncRNA UST-AS1 UST antisense RNA 1